rnacentral:rRNA from 1 species
UACGUAGGGUGCGAGCGUUUAAUCGGAAUUACUGGGCGUAAAGUGUGCGCAGGCGGCAGAGCAAGUCGAGUGUGAAAGCCCCGGGCUUAACUUGGGAAUUGCGCUCGAAACUACUUUGCUGGAGUGUGGCAGAGGAAGGUGGAAUUCCACGUGUAGCGGUGGAAAUGACGUAGAGAUGUGGAGGAACACCAAAUGGCGAAGGC